AUGCUCUGGUUUCUCUUCAAAUCGCAUAAAUCUUUCGCCUUUUACUAAAGAUUUCCGUGGAGAGAAACAACUAUGAGUCUUCAGGGAAAUA
rnacentral:snRNA from 1 species